AUUGAACGCUGGCGGCCGGCCUAACACAUGCAAGUCGAGCGGAGCGGCGGCAGGGUGAGUAAUGCCUAGGAAUCUGCCUGGUAGUGGGGGAUAACGUCCGGAAACGGGCGCUAAUACCGCAUACUAUCAGAUGAGCCUAGGUGGGAGUAGCUAGGUGGGGGGGUAAAGGCCUACCAAGGCGACGAUACGUAACUGGUCUGAGAGGAUGAUCAGUCACACUGGAACUGGGACACGGUCCAGACUCCCACGGGAGGAAGCAGUGGGGAAUAUUGGACAAUGGGCGAAAGCCUGAUCCAGCCACGCCGAGUGUGUGAAGAAGGUCUUCGGAUUGUAAAGCACUUUAAGUUGGGAGGCGUUACCAACAGAAUAAGCACCGGCUAACUUCGUGCCAGCAGCCGCGGUAAUUC
rnacentral:rRNA from 1 species